rnacentral:rRNA from 1 species
CCUACGGGAGGCAGCAGUGGGGAAUUUUGGACAAUGGGGGAAACCCUGAUCCAGCAAUGCCGCGUGAGUGAAGAAGGCCUUCGGGUUGUAAAGCUCUUUUGUCAGGGAAGAAACACCGGCUCUAACACAGUCCGGGAAUGACGGUACCUGAAGAAUAAGCACCGGCUAACUACGUGCCAGCAGCCGCGGUAAUACGUAGGGUGCGAGCGUUAAUCGGAAUUACUGGGCGUAAAGCGUGCGCAGGCGGUUAUACAAGACAGGCGUGAAAUCCCCGGGCUUAACCUGGGUAUGGCGCCUGUGACUGUAUAGCUAGAGUGUGUCAGAGGGGGGUAGAAUUCCACGUGUAGCAGUGAAAUGCGUAGAUAUGUGGAGGAAUACCAAUGGCGAAGGCAGCCCCCUGGGAUAACACUGACGCUCAUGCACGAAAGCGUGGGGAGCAAACAGGAUUAGAUACCCUGGUAGUCCACGCCCUAAACGAUGCUGACUAGUUGUUCGGGAUUUACAUCCUGAGUAACGUAGCUAACGCGUGAAGUCAGCCGCCUGGGGAGUACGGUCGCAAGAUUAAAACUCAAAGGAAUUGACGG